AACGAAGGGGGCUAGCGUUGCUCGGAAUGACUGGGCGUAAAGGGCGCGUAGGCGGUUUUGACAGUCAGAGGUGAAAUUCCUGGGCUCAACCUGGGGGCUGCGUUUGAUACGUAGGGACUGGAGUGCGGAAGAGGGUCGUGGAAUUGCCGGUGUAGAGGUGAAAUGCGUAGAUAUUGGGAAGAACUCCGGUGGCGAAGGCGGCGACCUGGUCCGUGACUGACGCUGAGGCGCGAAAGCGUGGGGAGCAAACAGG
rnacentral:rRNA from 1 species